rnacentral:rRNA from 1 species
UACGUAGGGUGCAAGCGUUGUCCGGAAUUAUUGGGCGUAAAGAGCUCGUAGGCGGUCUGUCGCGUCUGCUGUGAAAACUCAGGGCUUAACCCUGAGCUUGCAGUGGGUACGGGCAGACUAGAGUGCGGUAGGGGAGACUGGAAUUCCUGGUGUAGCGGUGAAAUGCGCAGAUAUCAGGAGGAACACCGGGGGCGAAGGCGGGUCUCUGGGCAGUAACUGACGCUGAGGAGCGAAAGCGUGGGGAGCGAACAGG